rnacentral:rRNA from 1 species
UACGUAGGGUGCGAGCGUUAAUCGGAAUUACUGGGCGUAAAGCGUGCGCAGGCGGUUCGUUAAGUCAGAUGUGAAAGCCCCGGGCUCAACCUGGGAACUGCAUUUGAAACUGGCGGGCUUGAGUAUGGCAGAGGGGGGUGGAAUUCCGCGUGUAGCAGUGAAAUGCGUAGAGAUGCGGAGGAACACCGAUGGCGAAGGCAGCCCCCUGGGCCAAUACUGACGCUCAGGCACGAAAGCGUGGGGAGCGAACAGG